rnacentral:tRNA from 1 species
AAAUUUUUAACUAUCGCCAAGGGGCUAGGUCGCCUUGAAAGUGACAGAAAAGUGUUCGACUCAUUUAAUAGUUU